rnacentral:lncRNA from 1 species
AGCCCUGGGGGUGUCGUUUGUGGGAGUGUGGGGAGGUGAUUAUGGGGUGUCACGGGUGGCCGUGGUGGUGGUGGCCGUCACCGGGCCGUACCGCAGCGGCAAAUCCUACCUGAUGAACUGGCUGGCCGGGAGGAGGGCGGGUGGAAGGAAAAUGGGGGGGGGGCACUGUGUGCCCCCCAGGUUGGGGUUCUCAUCCUCUGUUGACCAGUGGUGGACCAAUGGUUGACCAGUAGCAGACUCAUGCUUGACUAAUGGUUAACCAAUGGUUGACCAGUAGUUGACCAAAGGCUAACCAGUGCUUGACCAGUAGUUGACCAAUGGAUGACCAAUGCUUGACCAAUGGUUGACCAGUAUUGGACCAAUGGUUGACCAAACAUUGACAAAAGGCUGACCAAUGGUUGACCAGUGGUGAAACAAUGGUUGAUGAAUGGUUGACCAAUGGCUGACUGAAGGCUGACCAGUGUUUGACCAAAGGCUGACCAAUGGAUGACCAGUAGUUGACCAAUGGUUGACCAGUAGUUGACCAAUGGCUGACCAAUGGUUGACCUGUACUUGACCAGUAGUUGACCAGUGGAUGACCAAUGGUUGACCAGUAGCUGAUCAGUGCUUGACCAGUAGUGGACCAAUGGAUGACCAAACAUUGUCAAAAGGCUGACCAAGGGUUGAUCAGUAGUUGACCAAUGGUUGAUGAAUGGUUGAACAAUGCUUGACCAAUGGUUGACCAGUAUUGCACCAAUGGUUGACCAAACAUUGACAAAAGGCUGGCCAAUGGUUG